GACUCGGUAGUGCAAUGAGUUAGCAUGACAGACCGGAUAUCUGUAAGUGCGGGAUCGAGUCCCGGCUGAGGCG
rnacentral:tRNA from 1 species